rnacentral:rRNA from 1 species
GGCUCAGGAUAAACGCUGGCGGCGCACAUAAGACAUGCAAGUCAACGGGAACUUAUUGAAGUUAUCUGAUAUAAAGUUCUAGCGGCGGACUGGUGAGUAAUGUAUAAGCAACCUGCCUAUAAGAGGGGAAUAACAGUGAGAAAUCAUUGCUAAUACCGCAUAAGCUGUGAGAAUGGCAUCAUUCAAACAGAAAAGGAAGCAAUUCCGCUUAUAGAUGGGCUUAUAUCUGAUUAGCUAGUUGGUGAGGGUAACGGCCUACCAAGGCGAUGAUCAGUAGCCGGACUGAGAGGUUGAACGGCCACAUUGGGACUGAGAUACGGCUCAGACUCCUACGGGAGGCAGCAGUCGGGAAUAUUGCGCAAUGGAGGAAACUCUGACGCCAGUGACGCCGCGUGCAGGAAGAAGGUUCUAGGAUUGUAAACUGCUUUAGACAGGGAAGAAACAAAUGACGGUACCUGUAAAAUAAGCUCCGGCUAACUACGUGCCAGCAGCUGC